GCAUUGGUAGUGUAGCGGUUAUCAUUGGGUCUUCCCACUGGGAAUUUGGCCUAGACCCGGGUUCGACUCCCGGCCAAUGCA